UAAAAAAUGCGUAAUAGCUUACUCAUCGAGUGAUCCUGCGCCGAAAAUGAUUGGCGAUCAAGCGUUAUACCGAAGCUCUGGACUUUGCCGCAAGGCAGAGUGGUAGAAGAGCGUUGCAUGCGCGUCGAAGGGCGAUGGCGACUGACCCUGGAGCACAUGCAAGUGAGUAUGCAGACAUGAGUAACGUUAAGCCGGGUGAAAUCCCCGGCCGCCGUAAACCCGAGGUUUCCAGGGCAACGUGUUUCGUCCCUGGGUUAGCCGGGACCUAAGCCGAGGCCGAGAGGCGUAGGCGAUGGACAUCAGGUUAAUAAUCCUGAGCUCGCAACCCUUAAACUGGGGGGACGCAUGAGAAAAGAUGACUAGGUUAUUGAAUUCCGAGUUGAGUCCACGGACUCAGCGCAUCAUUGGAUCGAGUGCCAAGAAAAGCCCCAGCGUAUGCUAAGCGACCCGUACCGCAAACCGACACAGGUGGGUGGGUAGAAUAUACCAAGGCGUAAGAGUGAAACCUGGUUAAGGAACUCGGCAAAUUAGCCCCGUAACUUCGGAAGAAGGGGUGCCUGCAGCGAUGCAGGCCGCAGAGAAAUGGCCCAACCGACUGUUUAUCAAAAACACAGCACUCUGCAAAGACGCAAGUCGAAGUAUAGGGUGUGACACGUGACCAAUGCCGAAAGAUUAAGGCAAGGGGUUAGCCGCAAGGCGAAGCUCUAAACCCAAGUCCCGGUGAAUGUCGGCCGUAACUAUAACGGUCCUAAGGUAGCGAAAUUCCUUGUCGGGUAAGUUCCGACCUGCACGAAUCGUGAAACGAGUUGGGCACUGUCUCAACCAGGCGCUCAGUGAAAUUGUAGUGGCGGUGAAGAUGCCGCCUACCCGCAGAAGGACGGAAAGACCCUAUAGACCUUAACUGUAAGCUGUCAUUGUUUCUUCGGUUUUAAUGCUCAGAGUAAGUGGGAGACGCUGAAGACGCCCUUUAGGGGGCGUCCGAGUCAUCAAUGAGACACCACCCUUUGAAACUGGAGGAUCUAACCCUGAGCCGUGAAUCCGGCCAGAGGACCGUGUCAGCCGGUCAGUUUUACUGGGGCGGUAUCCUCCCAAAGAGUAACGGAGGAGCGCGAAGGUGGGCUCAGCCCGGUUGGCAACCGGGUGUCGAGUGCAUGGGCAUAAGCCCGCCUAACUGUGAGACCAACAAGUCGAGCAGAUGCGAAAGCAGGCCCAAGUGAUCCGGCGGUAGAAAGUGGAAUUGCCGUCGCUCAACGGAUAAAAGGUACCUUAGGGAUAACAGGCUGAUCACGCCCAAGAGUUCAUAUCGACGGCGUGGUUUGGCACCUCGAUGUCGGCUCGUCGCAUCCUGGGGCUGGAGAAGGUCCCAAGGGUCCGGCUGUUCGCCGGUUAAAGCGGCACGCGAGCUGGGUUCAGAACGUCGCGAGACAGUUCGGUCCUCUAUCCUCUGUGGGCGUUGGAAAAUUGAGGGGUUCAGACCUUAGUACGAGAGGACCGGGUCUGACGCACCACUGGUGCAUCGGUUGUACUGUCAAGUGCAUGGCCGAGUAGCUAAGUGCGGACGGGAUAAGCGCUGAAAGCAUCUAAGCGCCAAGCCCUUCCCAAGAUGAGUUUUCCCUACAGGUUCGUGGAAGACCACCACGUUGAUAGGUCGCAGGUGUAAGUGCAGCAAUGUAUUGAGCCGAGCGAUACUAAUUACCAAUUGACUUCAUCAU
rnacentral:rRNA from 1 species